rnacentral:rRNA from 1 species
CCAAUAGCGUAUAUUAAAGUUGUUGCAGUUAAAAAGCUCGUAGUUGAAUUUCGGGAUUGACACAUCGGUCGUGCCUUAAGGGGUAUGAACUGGUGUAGUCAAUUUCUCACCUUCUGGAGAACCGCGAUGCCCUUAAUUGGGUGUCGCGGGGAACCAGGACCUUUACUUUGAAAAAAUUAGAGUGUUUAAAGCAGGCAUUUUGCUUGAAUACAUUAGCAUGGAAUAAUAAAAUAGGACGGCAUGAUUCUAUUUUGUUGGUUUCUAGGAUCACCGUAAUGAUUAAUAGGAAUAGUUGGGGGCAUUAGUAUUCGAUUGUCAGAGGUGAAAUUCUUGGAUUUAUUGAAGACUAACUACUGCGAAAGCAUUUGCCAAGGAUGUUUUCAUUAAUCAAGAACGAAAGUUAGGGGAUCGAAGACGAUCAGAUACCGUCGUAGUCUUAACCAUAAACUAUGCCGACUAGGAAUCAGACGAUGUUAAUUUUUUAAUGACUCGUUUGGCACCUUACG